rnacentral:rRNA from 1 species
GAUGAACGCUGGCGGCGUGCCUAAUACAUGCAAGUCGAGCGAAUGGAUUAAGAGCUUGCUCUUAUGAAGUUAGCGGCGGACGGGUGAGUAACACGUGGGUAACCUGCCCAUAAGACUAGGAUAACUCCGGGAAACCGGGGCUAAUACCGGAUAACAUUUUGAACCGCAUGGUUCGAAAUUGAAAGGCGGCUUCGGCUGUCACUUAUGGAUGGACACGUGCAGCAGUAGCUAGUUGGUGAGGUAACGGCUCACCAAGGCAACGAUGCGUAGCCUACCUGGGAGGGUGAUCGGUCAGACGUGGACGCUCACACGGCCCAGACACCUACGGGAGGCAGCAGUAGGGAAUCUUCCGGACUGGACGAAAGUAUAACGGAGCAACGCCGCGUGAGUGAUAAUGGCUUUCGUGUCGUAAAACGCUGUUGUUAGGGAAGAACAAGUGCUAGUUGAAUAAGCUGGCACCUUGACGGUACCUAACCAGAAAGCCACGGCUAACUACGUGCCAGCCGCCGCAGUAA